AAACUAGAAUUCAUCACCGGUCUGAUAUAGAAUUUGCUGUUCAAGGGUAUCAAUGGAACGUUACAAGGAAGGGGUGUAAAUUAUCUAUAGUGGUUGCAUCGGUGCAGUGAACAUCAGGUGACUGGAGCCCCUUAAAGCGCUUGCGCACAUGUUCUCUCUCAUCUUAUGCUCUCUCGCUGCGGAGGUUGUGGAUUCCUGCCAAAGAGCUACAGCGAAUUGAGAGGUUUGGGCAGUCGUUUCGCAUCUCUGGUCACAUGGGUGAGGACGUGAGGGGUCACUCGCACUGUCAACUAAACAGCCUACGUACGUGCAGAGUCUUUCCAUCGAACAUGGAAACCAUUUAAGACAGUCACUUUGAAGAAUCUCCCGCACUGGAUUGGGCAUGGAGAAAUAAGAAACUCUUGCGACCUAAAUCCUUCAACCCACCACAAUCUCGACUCUCGACUCUCCAUCAUAUAGCCAUCUACAGAGCACGUUUUCCCCAAAAUCGCCGUUGAAGGAGUACAUAUUCCCAGAGCAGCCCGCCUUCAUCAGGAUAAAUUAAUUGAGCCUUGAACUAGAAGCCCCAGUUCUUGUAUCAGCGCUUUCAGCUGCAGCUACUCACUAGCCUCCACAAUCCAUUAACCAGGCUCUGGCUACAGAAAGGGACUGAAACCUCCUACAUCAUGAGCCUCUCUGUAUUGAAACUCGACUCAAACCCUAUCUCAAUUUCCCAGAAGAGCUUCUAUGGAGCAAGGGCUGGAGGCGAGAGGUCUGUUAUGCAACUUCCCUCUGCUUCUAGGGCCUUUCAGCAGGUUGUAAUAUGUUCUGCCAAAGCUGUGACUCCUUCGUCUCCAUUGGGAGUGGCUGCGCAGACAGGAGAUGUGCCAGAACGAAUUGGAUCGCUGAGUCAGGUUUCGGGUGUUUUGGGUUCUCAAUGGGGUGAUGAAGGAAAAGGGAAGCUCGUUGAUAUCUUGGCUGGGCAUUUCAAUAUUGUCGCUCGCU